GAUGAACGCUAGCGGCAGGCUUAACACAUGCAAGUCGAGGGGUAGGAGAAGCUUGCUUUUCUGAGACCGGCGCACGGGUGCGUAACGCGUAUGCAAUCUACCUUUCACAGAGGGAUAGCCCAGAGAAAUUUGGAUUAAUACCUCAUAGUAUAAUUGAAUGGCAUCAUUUAAUUAUUAAAGAUUUAUCGGUGAAAGAUGAGCAUGCGUCCCAUUAGCUAGUUGGUAUGGUAACGGCAUACCAAGGCAACGAUGGGUAGGGGUCCUGAGAGGGAGAUCCCCCACACUGGUACUGAGACACGGACCAGACUCCUACGGGAGGCAGCAGUGAGGAAUAUUGGACAAUGGGCGCAAGCCUGAUCCAGCCAUGCCGCGUGCAGGAUGACGGUCCUAUGGAUUGUAAACUGCUUUUAUACAGGAAGAAACACCUCUACGUGUAGAGACUUGACGGUACUGUAAGAAUAAGGAUCGGCUAACUCCGUGCCAGCAGCCGCGGUAAUACGGAGGAUCCAAGCGUUAUCCGGAAUCAUUGGGUUUAAAGGGUCCGUAGGCGGUCAGAUAAGUCAGUGGUGAAAGCCCAUCGCUCAACGGUGGAACGGCCAUUGAUACUGUCUGACUUGAAUUAUUAGGAAGUAACUAGAAUAUGUAGUGUAGCGGUGAAAUGCUUAGAGAUUACAUGGAAUACCAAUUGCGAAGGCAGGUUACUACUAAUUGAUUGACGCUGAUGGACGAAAGCGUGGGUAGCGAACAGGAUUAGAUACCCUGGUAGUCCACGCCGUAAACGAUGGAUACUAGCUGUUGGGAGCAAUCUCAGUGGCUAAGCGAAAGUGAUAAGUAUCCCACCUGGGGAGUACGAACGCAAGUUUGAAACUCAAAGGAAUUGACGGGGGCCCGCACAAGCGGUGGAGCAUGUGGUUUAAUUCGAUGAUACGCGAGGAACCUUACCAAGGCUUAAAUGUAGUUUGACCGGUUGGAAACAG
rnacentral:rRNA from 1 species